rnacentral:lncRNA from 1 species
GGCCACCCUUCUUCUUUGGGAGCACAGCACGCUCGAAGAAGAAAAGAGAGAGAUGGGCAUUUUUGAGGAGGGGGAGAAGAGGGAUCAGUUUGGGGCUCAAAAUGGAGGGGGAGGGUGGGUUUUAAAUAAGGUGGAGAGUCUGUUUCCAAUCGAGAAUGGAGGCAUGAGACAUGGGAGGAAUCCAAAGAGGUGGUGGAGCGAAAGAGGGCUAGGGUUUCGACUAAAUGGAGGGCUGGGGCAAGUGUGAAUUUUAGCGAUGCAUGAAUGGUUCCAUCGAUGCUUUUAAGCAUCAUAAAAAUUU